CCUACGGGAGGCAGCAGCCGCGGUAAUAUUGCACAAUGGGCGAAAGCCUGAUGCAGCGACACCGCGUGCGGGAUGACGGCCUUAGGGUUGUAAACCGCUUUCAGGAGGGAAGAAAAUGACGGUACCUCCAGAAGAAGCUCCGGCCAACUACGUGCCAGCAGCCGCGGUAAU
rnacentral:rRNA from 1 species